rnacentral:rRNA from 1 species
UAGGGAAUCUUCGGCAAUGGGGGCAACCCUGACCGAGCAACGCCGCGUGAGUGAAGAAGGUUUUCGGAUCGUAAAGCUCUGUUGUAAGUCAAGAACGAGUGUGAGAGUGGAAAGUUCACACUGUGACGGUAGCUUACCAGAAGGGGACGGCUAACUACGUGCCAGCAGCCGCGGUAAUACGUAGGUCCCGAGCGUUGUCCGGAUUUAUUGGGCGUAAAGCGAGCGCAGGCGGUUUGAUAAGUCUGAAGUUAAAGGCUGUGGCUCAACCAUAGUUCGCUUUGGAAACUGUCAAACUUGAGUGCAGAAGGGGAGAGUGGAAUUCCAUGUGUAGCGGUGAAAUGCGUAGAUAUAUGGAGGAACACCGGUGGCGAAAGCGGCUCUCUGGUCUGUAACUGACGCUGAGGCUCGAAAGCGUGGGGAGCGAACAGGAUUAGAUACCCUGGUAGUCCACGCCGUAAACGAUGAGUGCUAGGUGUUGGGUCCUUUCCGGGACUCAGUGCCGCAGCUAACGCAUUAAGCACUCCGCCUGGGGAGUACGACCGCAAGGUUG